GGCCCAUAUCUGGAUGACAUACCACUUACCAUGCCAGAAGUCAGCCAGCAGUGCUGGCUUGAUACCAGAUCCAGGCCAAACCUGUCUGCUAUGUGGGUUAUCUCUUUGGGUUGCCACGGCCACCAGGCAUUCUCCUUUAAGUUCCCUCCCCAGGUCUGCUGGCUUCUGUGAGACUGUGCGAAAUAGCUUGUUUUUCCCUUAAAAAUAAUUCUAGGUUCCCUUAAGGUGGUUUUUCUGUAACAUGCAAUAGGAUUGUAGCUCAAGCCCUAAAUCAAUAACACCUUGUCCAAUGAUGCUGUCACUUCCAUUAGUACAAAAGAUAAAUUACAGAUAAGGGAAUGUUCUUUAUAAUAGACCUGGCAGGUUCAUUGAUUAUUUGAGAUAUAUUUUAAUUAGUGUUUACUGGUUCAGUAUCUUGCCAAAGGACAUUUUGAUAUGCUGACUGGAAAUGCCAGGGUGCAAACAACCUACCUCGGAAUUACCAGAUGACCUUUUCUUCCUGUUAGCCAUAGCUGCUUAUGCUAUUGGCUUUAAUCCUCUUCUGCCUCAUCACUUGCACAAAUGUAUAUAUUAAUAAUUCCUUCUCUGUAUCAUUUCAGACUCAUUCCUCCCUUCACCGCAAUAGUCACAGUUUAGAUUCUCAACUUCAUACUCCUACUUUAUCAGCUGUCUUCAGACAUUCUUUCCUCCUCUCCUUGACUGUUGCUUCAUAGUUUCUACCAGUACCCUCUUUAUUAACGGUGCUGCUGGUGGCAACCAGUGCCUUGAAUGAUCUGAUAAUCUAAUCCAAGAUCUAUAUAUAUUUUUUUAAAUGGGACUGUUUUUGUAUCAGGAUGGAAAUAUAGCAUACAUACAGGCUUAGAACCAUCAAAACUGAGCUUGUACAAUUCCAGUUGGUAGAAAAUAUUUUAAAAUGGCACUACAAUUAAAUGCAAAUAUGAUUAAAAGGGACUCAAGACCAAGCAUCAGUAUGAGAUGACACUGACAAUGUGUGUGCAAUCAGCUCCUAGUCUGGUUAUGUGGAACAUUAUUAUAGAGUAGGUACUAGUUUAUUAUAAUAAAGGUAUGCUGGUUUAUAAUGGAUAUUUAUAAUUGGAAUUUGAGCAACUCACCAUUCUAAAUAUAUUUCAUAUCAUUCUAAGGUAUGCCAUAAAGUAUUACUGGUAAUCUGCAAAGGCAUUAACCUAGCCCUUGACAUAUGUCUUACCAAAUUACAAAACCUCUCACUUUCACUUUUCCAGCUACUCCAAGUUUAUUUAUGCAAUCAUUUUUCAUUGCUGUAACUUUGAGAUUCAGGUACUGUAUCUAAAACUGUUUUAGUUUGAUAUAUGCAUAUAUAAAAGUCCCAAAUUACUAUGGCAUUCAUCUCAGUGAUGAAUGUAAACUUUUGACAACUGUAUGAGAACCAAAAAUCCAUCUCUGUGUAUCUCUGUUUUAUAACGACAAAUAUAAAUUUGACAUACCACACAACAUUCUGAUUUCCAUGAGUGUAGCCACCAAAACACCAUAUUAUAUAAAUAUUACUUCAAGAUAACUGUUAUGAGAAAAUCGAUUUCCUUUUAUCUCUAUUGUGUUUACAGUAAUUAUUAUUAUUUACAUCCUAUUAACAUGCAUAUCAGCAGGAGGACAGACACUGGCAAGAGUUGAACUGCUAACAGCCACUGUGUUCAUGUAGAAAUGCGGUGAACCUGGCGGUGUUAAAGUUGAACGAGCAGGGGCUGCUGGACAAACUGAAAAACAAGUGGUGGUAUGACAAGGGAGAAUGCGGCAGCGGAGGAGGGGAGAGCAAGGAGAAGACCAGCGCACUCUCUCUUAGUAAUGUAGCAGGAGUCUUCUACAUCCUGGUUGGAGGUCUGGGAUUAGCCAUGAUGGUGGCACUGGUCGAGUUUUGCUACAAGAGUCGUGCAGAAGCCAAAAAAAUGAAGGUGGCAGCCAACACCUUGUCAUCACCCCAGCACACAGGAAACUACACACACACUCUGCCUUCUCCUCAACAUCCCCCCAACUACAACCUGCUGUCCCCCAGCCACCAGCCAAACUACGCCACCUAUAAAGAAGGCUACAACGUUUACGGCAUUGAGAGCGUCAAGAUCUAACACGGAUGAAAUUCACGGAUGCAAUGCGCUCCAAAGCUCGUCUGUCUAUCACAGGAUCGACCAGCGAGAAUGGUCGUGUUCCAGUGGCUUACCUCCGUCCUGGAUUACCCAUGAGUCUCAGCAUGACUGAUCUCUCCUGACUACAUCCAAGCCAGUGCCUUACAGCUAGAAAGACUGGACAGAUGUCUACCCACCACUUGGCUGUCAGGCUUCAGCAAUGACCUGCCCAUCAACGAAGAGAGUCACUUGACCAUCAGUGAGAAGAAUGGCUGUUCAUAUACAAAUUCAUGAAAAGCAAUCAAGCACAGUGGACAGUUUUCUAAUCAAAUACACAUCAUUAUUUAAUGGAUUUUUCCCCCUCUUGUACAGACAACAAGAAACAAUGAUGCUAACGCAAUAACAAUAUUAAUCAGGAAUGUGAUCAGGAGUUAUAAAAGCAGACUGAUGAAAUGAAAUAUCACAUCCAUAAAAUAUUAGUAAUUGUGGUAGCAGAUAAUGAUAUUGCUAUUGUUCCUAUUUUUUCUCCUUAUUUUCCCCUGAAAAUCCCUAAUGAGUGGAAACUUUUACCAGAUUAAGGGAUGCAUGGACUGGCAACCACAGGUACACAGUAUAAACACUUCUACAACACAACACUACAAAAACAUACAAAUUUUAUGCAGGGAUGGGCUGAAAUGAGUUAAAAAGUACCUGAGCAAGGUGUGAUACCGAAAGCAUCAACAAAUGCAAUCUGAGAAAGUGAAUAUCCCUGGCUCAAACUGACCACUCAUCAGUAUUACAAUUAAAAUGAAGCAAUUACUAAUGUUUAUAAUGCAUUUCAUGAAAUGUUGUCCACUCCAAGAUAUGUUAAAUAAUUAAACAAAAUUCCCCAAAUAUUUAGUGUUUAAUCCAAUUAAAAAAUUUUAUUGGAUUCUUGGUAACAUGAAUAUUUUAUAGUCUUUGCAGAAUUACUGUAAAUAUGUUUACACUUUCCUCUUGUUCAUUGGGCAAUAGCUUAACAGUGAUUUAUGUUUGACUGUGUGACACACAGCUCUAAACGUUUAAUGAUCAGCAUAUGAAAUUAUAAAAUAGACAUAAUAAAUCAUGUUGAAUCUGUUAAAUAUAUUUUAACACCUUGUGUAAACAGCACAUUGGCAGUUUUUACAUUCCUUGUUUUUCGUGCUGUACUGUUAACUACAGGAUCAUAGAUUUAGCCAUAGCCAGAUUUAACCAUUAUUAUAUAC